rnacentral:rRNA from 1 species
GUCCCAGCUGUAAACUAUGCAAACUCAGUGAUGCAUUGGCUUGUGGCCAAUGCAGUGCUGCAGGGAAGCCGUUAAGUUUGCCGCCUGGGAAGUACGUACGCAAGUAUGAAACUUAAAGGAAUUGGCGGGGAGCACCACAAGGGGUGAAGCCUGCGGUUCAAUUGGAGUCAACGCCAGAAAUCUUACCCGGAGAGACAGCAGAAUGAAGGUCAAGCUGAAGACUUUACCAGACAAGCUGAGAGGUGGUGCAUGGCCGUCGU